rnacentral:rRNA from 1 species
UACAGAGGGGGCAAGCGUUGUCCGGAAUCAUUGGGCGUAAAGAGCGUGUAGGCGGCCCGAUAAGUCCGCCGUGAAAGCCCAGGGCUCAACCCUGGAAUGCCGGUGGAAACUGUCGGGCUGGAGUCCGGAAGAGGCGAGUGGAAUUCCUGGUGUAGCGGUGAAAUGCGCAGAUAUCAGGAGGAACACCAAUGGCGAAGGCAGCUCGCUGGGACGGUACUGACGCUGGAGACGCGAAAGCGUGGGGAGCAAACAGG